UAAAUUUUUAUAGUUUAAAAAAUUUAUUUAAAAUUUAUUUUACAUAUAAAUUUUAGUAAUAAUUUAAUUAUUUUAAUAAUAAUUAAUUUAUUUAAGUAGUAAUUAAUAUUAAAAAUUUAAGAAAUUAAGAUUUAGUAAUAUAAAAAUUAAUAACAAAUUUUGUGCCAGCAGUUGCGGUUACACAAAAAUUAAAAUAAAUUUUUUUAGUAAUUAAUAAAUAAUUUAAAUAAAAUAAUUUAAAUUUUAAUUUAUUAGGUGAAAUUUUAAUUUAAUUAAAAAUUAUUAUUAUGAUAUUAAUAAAUUUUAUUUAUAAACUAGGAUUAGAUACCCUAUUAUUAAAAAAUUAAGUGUAUAAUACUAAAAUAUUAGAUUUUUAUUGAAACUUAAAUAAUUUGGCGGUAUUUUAGUUCAUUUAGAGGAAUCUGUCUAAUAAUUGAUAAUCCACGAAUUAAUUUACUUAAUUUAAUAUUUUGUAUAUCGUUGUUAAAAAAAUAUUUUUUUAUAAUAAAUAAUAUUUUAAAAUUUAAAAUUUAAAAUUAAAUCAAAUCAAGAUGCAGAUUAUAAUUAAGAAUAUGAUGGAUUACAAUAAAUUUAUUUAAGUGGAAAUUAAUAUGUAAUAUUUAAUUGAAAAUGGAUUUAAAUGUAAUUUUUAUUUAAUUUAAUAAAAUGAUUAAUAAUUAAAAUAUGUACAUAUUGCCCGUCGCUUUCAUUUAAAAAUUGAAAUAAGUCGUAACAAAGUAGAGGUACUGGAAAGUGUUUCUAGAAAGAA
rnacentral:ncRNA from 1 species